GGCUUCAUAGUUUAGUGGUAGAGCAUUUGAACCAGAAUCACAAAGGUCAUGGAUUCAAAUCCUGUUUAGCCU
rnacentral:tRNA from 1 species